AGUGUGACAUCAGCGGUCAUGGAGAGUCUCCAUCCAGCUGGAUCACUGUCACAGACAAACAUACCAACAGAUCUCCACCUACAUCCACACCUCCACCUGCCUCUUCUGCUGGUUCCUCUCCUCUUCUCCCCGUGUUGCUGACAGCUGGAACAGUCUGUGUUGUGUUAGUAGUGAUGUUACUGGUUGUUUUGGUGGAACGACAUGUUGACAGGAAACUUAAAGAGAGUGAUGCAGCUGCAGUCGACUCAGCAGUGAGAACAGAAGAUUUCAGUUAUGGAGAAAUCAACAUCAAAGAGGAACAAGAAGAGGCAACUAUAAAAUGUACAGCUGCUCUUCUUUGUCUCCAUCGUGGUUCAAGAUGACUUUUUUUAAAAUAGGGGUGUGUGGGCAGACUUCUCUGUGCUCUACAGCUAAUUUA
ensembl:lncRNA